CUUAUUCUUAAUCUCUAUUUCUCUCGCUCGCUCUUGUUGUUUUCUCCCUAAAACAAUGCAAUCUCAUACACAAUAAAACGUAUAUUGUAUUCAAGUUUAAAUUUUGCUGUCGGCGAGCGCACCCGCGUGGAUUCAAAUGAUUGGGAUUUAAAAAAAAAAUAUAAAAAAUAAAUAAAUAGGAUAGAAGCUUAUGAAGAAUCCCAAAUUAUUUACGGGAUUUCAAUAAUAAUCGCAGUACAGAACAUAAAUUAUAAAGUAAAGAAACAAAUGAACAUACCGGUUAACGAUGAAAAUCAGUGGUUGGAGGAUGCUGACUAGCGCAGAACAAAACGUAGUGAUG